AUUCUUCAGAACUGCCUAUUUCUAAAACAGCCAAUAUAUCUAUCUUGAAUUAAUUGCCUUGCAGUGAGCAAACUUACUCUGACAGAGAUUAGAAGAUUAGCAGCCUUUACAACAAAAAGCAGUAGGAGCAGUGGAAUUGCUGGAUCACAGCCUGAGCCAAUGCUUGAACACCAAGUGAGAAGGCGUGGUUAACCCAAGGAGCUCAGGUGCUAACUGAGUGACCGGAAGGGACUGAGCCUGGAUCCACUCCUCUUCACCCUCAUUUGAGGGUUAGCAGCUGAGGGAGUAGCAUUUUUCUGGGUAGGGACUGCGCUUCUCUUGAACUGUCACUGG
rnacentral:lncRNA from 1 species